AUGUUUGUCUUGUCUUGUGUUGUCUUGUGUGUUCAUUCCUUUGUUUAGGAAACACGCGGACCCCAACAUCUGGCGCAGCGAGCAGGGUCCGUGGCUCCACGAGAGCAAGGAACUGGAGGGGGAACACCCCGGGCAGGUGCCGGGUUGAAACAGUGCCAUGGCGAAGAGAAGCCGAUCCGAAGAGUUCCUGAAGGAAUUCCAGGAGCUAAAUCUGAGCGCUCAGAGAACAUUCACCUUCGGAACUCGACGUGUGGAGCCCCCGACAUGGGGACAACUGAAAAGGUUAAGAAGCUGAAGGGGUUGUUCAACAAGCUGGGCAGCCCAAAACCCCACUGACUUUAUUCCUGGCUAUGCUGGCCGUAGUAAAUUGUCAGGUAACAGCUGGAGAAUUUACAUACUGCCUUAUAUUCCUUUUCCACCCUUAUAUCAAGGUGUGGCCUGGGGAGACAGAGAAGUCCUAGUAUUUACUAAUGAUACUGCUUGGAUGCCAUCGCCUUUUUUAAACCAGGAUCCUGAAUUAAACACUGGCACAGUAAAUAGUUCAUAUCAAUUUGAGGUUGAAGGGUUACCUAUAUGUCUUGAGGGGGUAGUCCACAUUGUCUGCAUCUUUCUCAUGAGGCUUGGGCUGUUCGCUAUAACCAUAGUCAUAUUUCUGCCUUUACUAUGAUUAUUGUUGCUCAAAGUUUUAAGUGUAAUCA